GCUUGAACAGGCUUCCGAAGCCCAAAGCAACGCUGGAGAUUUAAAUAGGCUUCGCGGAGUGGGCGGGGUACGGUGGCCCUGAUUUCCGGGCCAUAGCGUCACUUUUUGAGCUUUAUCUUCUGCCGGUCAGAGAGUUCGUCGGCUGAGUGUGACUCUGGGAAUCGCAGCGGAGCCCCCAGCUACCCCAGAACCUCCCAGUGCUGCCUUGGAUGUCAUCUCAAAACAGACACGUGUUGGAGAGUUGAGAAUAAACGUCACUCUCUAAGACGGAGAAAAGCUGGUCACAAUUCCUGCACUGUGGUGGGACAUUUUCAAGAAACAGAGACGAUGUGCAGGUCAGAGGAGAUCAGACUGUGAGUGUGGAAUCCCGUACCCCACCACAGACAGCCUGGAUGGAACCAAGGCAAGUCCUUCCCUCUCUGGAGUCUCUCCCCCCAAAAACUACCCGGGGAGGAUUGGGAGCAUCAAACAUGGGUGGGUGCUGCCCAGCCUUCCCUCCAAAGCUAGGAGGGUAGCCAGGGCUGACCCUCAUGUAGCCACAUGCUUGGGAGGAGGAAGGUGGGGUUUGUGUCCAGCUCUUGUCUUGUUCAGAGUGGUCCAGAGUGGAACUGUAGGACCCAAGGGGUGCUCUGAGUCCUUGGUAUGCUGAGGACAGCCGGCUUACAGAGCAGAGGGUUAGAAAGAAGCAAGACAAGCAGCAUUCCAGGAAAGCAAAUACUGCAGAUCGAAAUUGGACACAAGUUCCUGGAAAGACAAAUAACAAAAACCCACACCUUCCACUAAGCCUUCCGCCAGCUCAUUAGCUGAUGAGAACUCUAAGGACUUGGAGAGGUUGGAAUGUUGCAAGUCCAGAGCCAGAUCUUCACAAGCCGCCUUAGCACCUCUGAUAGCCCUUCAUGACCCACCUCUGACGUCAUCUGCUGCCUCUGUGGCUGUGAGAAGCUUGACAAAAACUGUUACCGCGGUGGAGCACGGAAUUUGGCGUAACCUGGUUCUUUAUUUGUCUGCUGCGGUCACUCAUCUUUGACUUCAGAAUAAACUAUCCCUUCUCACCUUUGAGGUGAGAGUUACA